CGGCGGUUCGGGGGGAUCCUAGACGUGCAGUCGAGCGAAUCGAUGGGAGCUUGCUCCCUGAGAUUAGCGGCGGACGGGUGAGUAACACGUGGGCAACCUGCCUAUAAGACUGGGAUAACUUCGGGAAACCGGAGCUAAUACCGGAUACGUUCUUUUCUCGCAUGAGAGAAGAUGGAAAGACGGUUUACGCUGUCACUUAUAGAUGGGCCCGCGGCGCAUUAGCUAGUUGGUGAGGUAAUGGCUCACCAAGGCGACGAUGCGUAGCCGACCUGAGAGGGUGAUCGGCCACACUGGGACUGAGACACGGCCCAGACUCCUACGGGAGGCAGCAGUAGGGAAUCUUCCGCAAUGGACGAAAGUCUGACGGAGCAACGCCGCGUGAACGAAGAAGGCCUUCGGGUCGUAAAGUUCUGUUGUUAGGGAAGAACAAGUACCAGAGUAACUGCUGGUACCUUGACGGUACCUAACCAGAAAGCCACGGCUAACUACGUGCCAGCAGCCGCGGUAAUACGUAGGUGGCAAGCGUUGUCCGGAAUUAUUGGGCGUAAAGCGCGCGCAGGUGGUUCCUUAAGUCUGAUGUGAAAGCCCACGGCUCAACCGUGGAGGGUCAUUGGAAACUGGGGAACUUGAGUGCAGAAGAGGAAAGUGGAAUUCCAAGUGUAGCGGUGAAAUGCGUAGAGAUUUGGAGGAACACCAGUGGCGAAGGCGACUUUCUGGUCUGUAACUGACACUGAGGCGCGAAAGCGCAGGGGCCACCCCCGGGAAAA
rnacentral:rRNA from 1 species